UACAGAGGGUGCGAGCGUUAAUCGGAAUUACUGGGCGUAAAGCGUGCGUAGACGGUUAUUUAAGUCGGGUGUGAAAGCCCCGGGCUCAACCUGGGAAUUGCAUUCGAUACUGGAUAGCUAGAGUUCGGCAGAGGGAAGCGGAAUUUCCGGUGUAGCGGUGAAAUGCGUAGAUAUCGGAAGGAACAUCAGUGGCGAAAGCGGCUUCCUGGACCAGAACUGACGAUCAGGCUCGAAAGCGUGGGGAGCAAACAGG
rnacentral:rRNA from 1 species